AUUGAACGCUGGCGGCAUGCCUCACACAUGCAAGUCGAACGGCAGCACGGGGGCAACCCUGGUGGCGAGUGGCGAACGGGUGAGUAAUGCAUCGGAACGUACCCGGAAGUGGGGGAUAACGUAGCGAAAGUUACGCUAAUACCGCAUAUUCUGUGAGCAGGAAAGAGGGGGAUCGCAAGACCUCUCGCUUUCGGAGCGGCCGAUGUCGGAUUAGCUAGUUGGUGGGGUAAAGGCCUACCAAGGCGACGAUCCGUAGCGGGUCUGAGAGGAUGAUCCGCCACACUGGGACUGAGACGCGGACCAGGCUCCUACGGGAGGAAGCAGUGGGGAAUUUUGGACAAUGGGCGCAAGCCUGAUCCAGCCAUGCCGCGUGAGUGAAGAAGGCCUUCGGGUUGUAAAGCUCUUUCGGACGGAAAGAAAUCGCACGGGCCAAUACCCUGUGUGGAUGACGGUACCGUAAGAAGAAGCACCGGCUAACUACGUGCCAGCAGCCGCGGUAAUAC
rnacentral:rRNA from 1 species